AUACUUUUCUCGGUCUUUUGGCUAAGAUCAAGUGUAGUAUUUGUUCUUAUCAGUUUAAUAUCUGAUAACCCGAGCCUAUGGGUUCGGGGGCAAGCUUAUAGGUGUUAUAAUAUGUUUGUCUUGAUAUUAAUUUUUUCAUAGGGGAAGGACCCUUAAUAUAGUAGCUUGCUACUUGGGGUUCCUUCUGUGUCACCCUUACUUUGCACUUCGUGAGGGUAUGGCACACCCGUC
rnacentral:snRNA from 1 species